AACGGCAGCACAGAGGAGCUUGCUCCUUGGGUGGCGAGUGGCGGACGGGUGAGGAAUACGUCGGAAUCUGCCUAUUUGUGGGGGAUAACGUAGGGAAACUUACGCUAAUACCGCAUACGACCUUAGGGUGAAAGCGGAGGACCUUCGGGCUUCGCGCAGAUAGAUGAGCCGACGUCGGAUUAGCUAGUUGGCGGGGUAAAGGCCCACCAAGGCGACGAUCCGUAGCUGGUCUGAGAGGAUGAUCAGCCACACUGGAACUGAGACACGGUCCAGACUCCUACGGGAGGCAGCAGUGGGGAAUAUUGGACAAUGGGCGCAAGCCUGAUCCAGCCAUGCCGCGUGUGUGAAGAAGGCCUUCGGGUUGUAAAGCACUUUUGUCCGGAAAGAAAAGCUUCGGGUUAAUACCCCGGGGUCCUGACGGUACCGGAAGAAUAAGCACCGGCUAACUUCGUGCCAGCAGCCGCGGUAAUACGAAGGGUGCAAGCGUUACUCGGAAUUACUGGGCCGUAAAGCGUGCGUAGGUGGGUUUGUUAAAGUCUGAUGUGAAAGCCCUGGGCUCAACCUGGGAAUUGCAUUGGAUACUGGCAGGCUAA
rnacentral:rRNA from 1 species